CAUUUUUGGAUUUAUUACUAGAACAUAUAAGGUUUUUACAUAUCCCAUUACUAUUAAAAACAAUAUAUUUUUUCUUAGUACUCUCCACUCUCGAAUGUAAUAUAUUAUUCAAUGUAAUAUAAUUCUAUUAUCUGGUCUCCUAAAAAUAUUCAUAUACUGUGUCUCGAAGCAAUACAAAAUCGCUUCCUCCGUUUUAUAUCCUAUAAAUGGCAACCGCAUUCAUUAUAUCAGCUGUUAUUAAACACAUUAAAUAUGAGCAGCCUUGUGAUCCGCAGAAACAUACUUGAUUUGAAAUGCCUAUUUAGAUUGAUAGAUGGUUUCAUAUAUUGUCCAGAAUUGCUUAGUUUUAUACAUUUUUAUGUCCCUCAACAACUAACUAGGUCUAAUUAUACUUUUCGCAAUCACUUGCUCCGAUAUAACUAUAUCAUAAAUGCUCCUUUAAAUAGAUCCACUAGAUUAGCCAAUGAUGCUCAAUCUGAUUUUUUUAAUUUCAAUUUUAUUGAGUCUUUCUGUAAUUAUUUAGUUAGUUAUUGUCAGUAACUACCUUUGUGUUUUUAUUAUACUCAUUAAUUUAUAGUAUAUUAUUAUUUUUCUACUGUUUUCCUUAUGAAUUACUU